rnacentral:rRNA from 1 species
GAGUUUGAUCCUGGCUCAGGACGAACGCUGGCUGCGUGCUUAACACAUGCAAGUCGAACGCUGAAGCCCGCAGCUUGCUGUGGGUGGAUGAGUGGCGAACGGGUGAGUAACACGUGAGUAACCUGCCCCGACUUCGGGAUAAGCCCGGGAAACUGGGUCUAAUACCGGAUAUGACCAACGCUCGCAUGAGUGUUGGUGGAAAGUCUUUCGGUUGGGGAUGGGCUCGCGGCCUAUCAGUUUGUUGGUGAGGUAAUGGCUCACCAAGACGACGACGGGUAGCCGGCCUGAGAGGGCGACCGGCCACACUGGGACUGAGACACGGCCCAGACUCCUACGGGAGGCAGCAGUGGGGAAUAUUGCACAAUGGGGGAAACCCUGAUGCAGCGACGCAGCGUGCGGGAUGACGGCCUUCGGGUUGUAAACCGCUUUCAGCAGGGAAGAAGCCUUGAUCGGUGACGGUACCUGCAGAAGAAGUACCGGCUAACUACGUG